GGAAUCUUCCACAAUGGGCGCAAGCCUGAUGGAGCAACACCGCGUGAGUGAAGAAGGGUUUCGGCUCGUAAAGCUCUGUUGUUAAAGAAGAACACGUAUGAGAGUAACUGUUCAUACGUUGACGGUAUUUAACCAGAAAGUCACGGCUAACUACGUGCCUAG
rnacentral:rRNA from 1 species